rnacentral:lncRNA from 1 species
GGGAGUCUUGAUGCCCAACACCUUAUGCCAUCUGGUGUGGAAGUUGUUGACUGAAUGCUCGCUACAUGGAGGAAUCAUUACAAGAGUAAAAGUGCAUAAUUUAUUUAUAAAUAAAAAAAGAAAAAAAAAGAGAAAAUAAUAUUGACCUUGAAAAAGAUGAUAGUGUGAAAGCCGUCGUUGUAAAAAUUCGAGUAAACUGGAAUAUUACAGAUAAAGCCCAUGAGGUAUUAAAGUAAAUAUCUAUAACUCUCGAAAUCCUGCAAGAUAGGAUGAUUUUAAAUCAGUGAUUAGGUCUUAUCUGACCAAUUCUUAGAAACUACUAGCUUUAGCAGUAUUUGGGGGAAUCUAAAGCCUUAGCUUGUGUAUGGUCCAGAUAGCACCGAGCACCCAAGUAUAAAUAAGCCUUACAACUCUCU